rnacentral:rRNA from 1 species
UACAGAGGUCUCAAGCGUUGUUCGGAUUCAUUGGGCGUAAAGGGUGCGUAGGCGGCUUGUUAAGUCAGGGGUGAAAGUUUUCGGCCCAACCGGAAAAUUGCCUUUGAUACUGGCGAGCUUGAGUGCGUGAGGGGUAACCGGAACGAGUCGUGUAGCGGUGAAAUGCGUAGAUAUGACUCGGAAGGCCAACGGCGAAGGCAGGUUACUGGUACGCAACUGACGCUGAGGCACGAAAGCGUGGGGAGCAAACAGG